AAAGUGACAGAUGAAGAUCAGAUCCUGCACAUUCUGAGUGGCCUUGGAAUGGAAUAUGAUCCCGUUAUGGUGACUAUCACUUCAAGGGUUGAGCCUACAACUGUAGCAGAAGUAAGUGCUUUGUUGCAUAGUUUUGAAA